rnacentral:rRNA from 1 species
UACGGAGGGUGCAAGCGUUAUCCGGAUUCACUGGGUUUAAAGGGUGCGUAGGCGGGAUGGCAAGUCGGUCGUGAAAUCCCUCGGCUCAACUGAGGGUCGUCGAUCGAUACUGCCGUUCUUGAGGAUUGCAGAGGAGACUGGAAUUCCCGGUGUAGCGGUGAAAUGUGUAGAGAUCGGGAGGAACACCGGUGGCGAAGGCGGGUCUCUGGGCAAUUCCUGACGCUGAGGCGCGAAAGCGUGGGUAGCAAACAGG